ACAGAAGAUUCCAGGGCUGAGGACUUCACCCCUCACACACAGGCUUCUCUAGCUCACUCUGAGAUGUGAUCCAGACAUUUCCAUGGGAACUUUCUGGGCUGUUCUGACUAUGGGGAAGAAAAGGAGGAAGGAACCAGGCGUAGUGGCGAACGCUUGUAAUCCCAGCGGCUUGGGAGGCUGAGACAGGAGGAGUGUGAGUUCAAAGCCAGCCUCAGCAAAAGCGAGGUGCUAAGCAACUCAGUGACAU
rnacentral:lncRNA from 1 species